CAUUUGCGUUAGGGAUUGCAGUGAAAAUCCUUUUUUGAUUCGUCCUUUUGGUGAAUCAAAAAAGAUUGUAACGAAAAGCCCGCCUGCCU
rnacentral:sRNA from 1 species